rnacentral:rRNA from 1 species
CGAGAAAGCCCGCAAGGGUGAGUAAAGCGGCGCACGGGUGCGUAACACGUGGGUAAUCUGCCCUGGAGCCCGGAACAACUCGCCGAAAGGCGAGCUAAUGCCGGAUGAGCCCACGGGGUCCUUGGACCCUGAGGGAGAAGGUGGCCUCUGCAUGCAAGCUAUCACUUCAGGAUGAGCCCGCGGCCCAUCAGCUCGUUGGCGGGGUAACGGCCCACCAAGGCUACGACGGGUAGCUGGUCUGAGAGGACGAUCAGCCACACUGGAACUGAGACACGGUCCAGACUCCUACGGGAGGCAGCAGUGGGGAAUCUUGCGCAAUGGGCGAAAGCCUGACGCAGCAACGCCGCGUGUGUGAUGAAGGUCUUCGGAUCGUAAAGCACUGUCGCGAGGGACG